GGGUCCGUAGCUCAAUGGGAGAGCACUCGGUUUGCACCCGAGCGGUCCGGGUUCGAGUCCCGGCGGUUCCA
rnacentral:tRNA from 5 species